rnacentral:rRNA from 1 species
UUAGUGGCGGACGGGUGAGUAACGCGUGGAUAACCUGCCCCAUACCGGGGGAUAACAGCCGGAAACGGCUGCUAAUACCGCAUAAGCGCACGGGAAUGCAUGUUUCUGUGUGAAAAACUCCGGUGGUAUGGGAUGGAUCCGCGUCUGAUUAGCUGGUUGGCGGGGUAGAGGCCCACCAAGGCGACGAUCAGUAGCCGACCUGAGAGGGUGGCCGGCCACAUUGGGACUGAGACACGGCCCAGACUCCUACGGGAGGCAGCAG